rnacentral:rRNA from 1 species
UACGAAGGGGGCUAGCGUUGUUCGGAUUUACUGGGCGUAAAGCGCACGUAGGCGGAUCUUUAAGUCAGAGGUGAAAUCCCAAGGCUCAACCUUGGAACUGCCUUUGAUACUGGGGAUCUUGAGUCCGGGAGAGGUGAGUGGAACUGCGAGUGUAGAGGUGAAAUUCGUAGAUAUUCGCAAGAACACCAGUGGCGAAGGCGACUUCCUGGCCUGUUCUUGACGCUGAGGCGCGAAAGCUGGGGGGGAGCAAACGGG